CCUACGGGUGGCAGCAGUGGGGGAUAUUGCACAAUGGGGGGAACCCUGAUGCAGCGACGCCGCGUGGGUGAAGAAGCGCCUCGGCGCGUAAAGCCCUGUCAGCAGGGAAGAAAAUGACGGUAUCUGAAGAAGAAGCCCCGGCUAACUACGUGCCAGCAGCCGCGGAAAUACGUGGGGGGCAAGCGUUAUCCGGAUUUACGGGGUGUAAAGGGGGCGCAGACGGGGAUGCAAGCCAGGAGUGAAAGCCCGGGGCCCAACCCCGGGACUGUUCGUGGAACUGCGUGGCGGGGGUGCAGGAGGGGCAGGGGGAAUUCCGGGUGUAGCGGUGAAAUGCGUAGAUAUCAGGGGGAA
rnacentral:rRNA from 1 species